rnacentral:rRNA from 1 species
CCUACGGGAGGCUGCAGUGAGGAAUAUUGGUCAAUGGGCGAGAGCCUGAACCAGCCAAGUCGCGUGAAGGAUGACGGCCCUACGGGUUGUAAACUUCUUUUGUCAGGGAGCAAUUGGGUCCACGCGUGGGCUUAGCGAGAGUACCUGAAGAAAAAGCAUCGGCUAACUCCGUGCCAGCAGCCGCGGUAAUACGGAGGAUGCGAGCGUUAUCCGGAUUUAUUGGGUUUAAAGGGUGCGUAGGCGGAAUAUCAAGUCAGCGGUAAAAAUUCGGGGCUCAACCCCGUCGUGCCGUUGAAACUGAUGUUCUGGAGUGGGCGAGAAGGAUGCGGAAUGCGUGGUGUAGCGGUGAAAUGCAUAGAUAUCACGCAGAACUCCGAUUGCGAAGGCAGCAUACCGGCGCCCAACUGACGCUGAAGCACGAAAGCGUGGGUAUCGAACAGGAUUAGAUACCCCUGUAGUC